GGAGCCGGCCAGGCGGCCGCGCCCCGACCCGCCCCCGGGCGGAACGGGUGAGGAAAGUCCGGACUCCACAGGACAGGGUGCUGGGUAACGCCCAGGCGUGGUGACACGCGGCAAGCGCAACAGAGAGCAGACCGCCGGGGUCCGCCCCGGUGAGGGUGAAACGGUGAGGUAAGAGCUCACCAGCGCGGCGGGUGACCGUCGCGGCUAGGCAUGCCCCACCCGGAGCAAGGCCGAGCAGGGACAGGGUGGUCCGCCCGUCACGUCCCAGGUGGGCCGCACCGAGGCGUUCGGGUGACCGACGCCCCAGAGAGAUGGUCGCCACCCCGCGGUCCGCCGCGGGGGACAGGAUCCGGCUUACCGGCCGACUCCCCCC
rnacentral:RNase_P_RNA from 1 species